UCAGGAUGAACGCUAGCGGCAGGCUUAACACAUGCAAGUCGAGGGGUAACAGGGAGUAGCAAUACUCCGCUGACGACCGGCGCACGGGUGCGUAACGCGUAUGCAACCUACCUGUAACAGGGGUAUAACGGAGGGAAACUUCCACUAAUCCCCCAUAUUGUGUGGAUUCGCAUGUUUCCACAACGAAAGCUUUCUGUGGUUACGGAUGGGCAUGCGUGACAUUAGCUAGUUGGUAAGGCAACGGCUUACCAAGGCGACGAUGUCUAGGGGAGCUGAGAGGCUUAUCCCCCACACUGGUACUGAGACACGGACCAGACUCCUACGGGAGGCAGCAGUGAGGAAUAUUGGUCAAUGGGCGCAAGCCUGAACCAGCCAUGUCGCGUGCAGGAAGAACUGCCCUAUGGGUUGUAAACUGCUUUUAUAGUAGAAGAAACACAUCUACGUGUAGAUGUCUGCCAGUAUACUAUGAAUAAGCAUCGGCUAACUCCGUGCCAGCCGCCGC
rnacentral:rRNA from 1 species